rnacentral:rRNA from 1 species
CAGUAGCCGCGGGAAAACGAAGGGUGCAAGCGUUACUCGGAAUUACUGGGCGUAAAGCGUGCGUAGGUGGUGGUUUAAGUCCGUUGUGAAAGCCCUGGGCUCAACCUGGGAAUUGCAGUGGAUACUGGGUCACUAGAGUGUGGUAGAGGAUAAUGGAAUUUCCGGUGUAGCAGUGAAAUGCGUAGAGAUCGGAAGGAACAUCUGUGGCGAAGGCGACUAUCUGGGCCAACACUGACACUGAGGCACGAAAGCGUGGGGAGCAAACAGGAUUAGAUACCCCGGUAGUCCCUGUCUCUUAUAA